rnacentral:tmRNA from 1 species
GGGGACGCGUGGGUUCGACAGGGGAAAUUCUUGCAGGAUUGCAGGCCGAGGUGUCAUCUAACCUCGCAAAUAAGAUGACAAAAUUUUAAAAGGCAAGCAAGACUUAGCCCUAGCAGCCUGAUCGCUGCUACGUCCUGUAUCAACUCUCCUCGAAGUAGAUAUAUGGGCGCCAUAAUUCGAGGUGCUAUUCGCUAAACGCCAAAUAAGCGAGUAAAAGACUCUUGGCUAAACCUAAUUGUUAGCUGAGUCGGUGCAGUACAACUAGGGAAUAUUUACUCCGACUAAGCCUGUAGGAUAUUCUAGCUAAGGAUUCUUCUGGACGGGGAGUUCGACCCUCCCCCGUCUCCACCA